GCACGUUAAAAUUAAAAAACCGCAAGAACGUCCGCUUACUUUCCUGAAUAGGAAAUCAUUUUACAGCAUUAACACAUUGAUUGUGUGUGACCAUAAAACACGAAUACGAGCCGUUGAUGCACGAUUUGCUGGAUCACAUCACGAUGCGCACAUAUGGCGAGUGAGCAUUGUGCGCAAAUAUUUCCAACGAUUGCACAGAAGCGGGCAAAGGGAUAAGAUUUUGGGGGAUGCUGGGUAUCCAUCGGAACCGUGGCUAGUAAGACCGCACAGAGACCCAGACGAAGGAUCCGCCGAGGCAGAAUUUAACAAAAAACACUCUUCUGGUCGGAUGAUUGUAGAACAGACCAUAGGCGUUUGGAAAUCCCGGUUUCGAUAUCUCGCUGGGACAGACAGAUCACUAAACUACGAUCCUGUAACAAGUGGUCUUAUUAUUAACACAUGUUGUGCGUUGCAUAACAUCUGUAUUGAAAAUAAUAUAGAGUGGCAACAAACUUUCACAGAUUUAUUAGAAAAUAUUUGAGAAAAAUAAAUGCUAGUUUUUGCGCAAAAAA